UACGUAGGGUGCGAGCGUUAAUCGGAAUUACUGGGCGUAAAGCGUGCGCAGGCGGUUUUGUAAGCCAGAUGUGAAAGCCCCGGGCUCAACCUGGGAAUGGCAUUUGGGACUGCAAGGCUAGAGUGCGGCAGAGGAGACUGGAAUUCCUGGUGUAGCAGUGAAAUGCGUAGAUAUCAGGAGGAAUACCGAUGGCGAAGGCAGGUCUCUGGGCUGACACUGACGCUCAUGCACGAAAGCGUGGGGAGCAAACAG
rnacentral:rRNA from 1 species